GUGCUCAUUUCGACAGCACAUGUACUAAAACUGGAAUGAUACAGGGAAGAUUAGCAUGGCCUCUGUGCAAGGAUGACAUGCAAAUUAGUGAUAUAUAUAUAUGUGUG
ensembl:snRNA U6 U6 spliceosomal RNA